CAGUUUCCUCAUCCAGUUCCCAUCAUCCCUCACUGGCUCCAAAUCCAAGAUGGCGGCUCAAAUGUUCAGAUUUACAAGAUUUACAAGUUCAGUGACGUCAAGUUUGUAAGCAAAUAUUUAAUAAUUGGUGCACAAAAUAACAGCAAAGCUAAAAUAUUCAACCAGUAUACAUGCAGGUGGCUGUCUAGCUUGAAUGGACCAAUGCUUAGGGAUAAUUUAGCGAACACAACGUGUGUAAGUUGACCUAAGUUCAGUCAACUUCAAAUGGCUUCCAAACAAGAUGGCAAAGCCUUUGUUGGUGAGGUGGCUAUCUAAUGAAUCCAAGAAGAAAGAUAGCAGUGUGUUGGGAGAUUUGAUGGAAACACAAGAGCAGCGCCACAAUCUCAGCUAACAGUAGGUGCCAAAGUUGUUCAGACUGGAAGAGAUGCUACAUAUUUUGGUAUCAUUCUCGUUGGAUUUGCCAUCACUGGUAAGAAGUCAUAGAGCAGUUUUUGUAGCAGUUUAAAUCAAGGCUUAGCUUAGAACAAUGUAUAUAAUUUAUGUUUAAUGAAAAGUUAUGUUAAAAGCUUGAUUACCAGUUUUAUGAAUAACCAAUAAAUCACCAAUAGAAAAAGCAAGCGCAAAAAUUUGUAUUUUGGAAUUGUCUUAUUACUAUUAACGAAAUUCCAAUUUAGAAGUUGAUUUAAGUGGAGGUAGGAAAACUGGAGAACCCAGAGGAAAACCCUGAAAAAGUCUGGGAAUAGAACUAGGCCAUCACAUUGGUGAGAGGCGAGUGCUCUCACCUCUAUGCAACCUUUGCUUCUCCAAUUAAAUUAUUUUAAAUUAAAAUUACAAAAAUUUGUAUGUGUACAGUCAACUGAUGACUAAAUAGCCUCGGAUAAAUAUCCAUGGGUUUAUGCACCUAUCAGCGGCUUCCCUUGGGGUCGACCCCCGGGCUGACCAAGGAGAUGGGUGGGAGAAUAUAGAAUAUAGAAUAUAGGAUUGAAUCCAGUUAUUCCCCCUGGGGUUGGAAAAAAUUUGCGACAUUGGUUUCGUGGCUAAAAACUGAGGUGGGGGAUUGUAAUGAAAUUAUUUUCAUUGCAGAGGUUAGCAGGGGGAUUGAUUUUCCUCUCUAGUUAAAGAAAUAGCUCCUGAUUUUAAAAAUUUUGAGACCACAGACGUUUUUGGUCGGGCUGGGUUACCUGUGUCAUUCGACAAUACCCAGAUGCCUCUCUGCUCGUAAAGAUAGUAUGUUUUUUGACAUUCUUUGUUUCAUAGAUACGAAUUCGAAGGCAACUUGAUUUUUACUUUUAAAAGUGAAUUCUUCAUUUCAUGAGAGUUUUUUUUCCAAUCUUUUCAAUGAAAAACUACCUGAAAUAGUUGAGUUCAGUUUUCAAAAUACAAUAACAAUAAUUUCAACCAAAAUGAGGGAGAUCGUAGAUUUGAAUGCCUCGACCAGGGAACAUUGAAAAGAACAACUUCCCUACCCCUGGGGAAAAUGAUCAACAUUGUUUAUGAAUUUUUACAAUCUCCCUGGUAAUGCAGCCCGGGGGUCGACCCCACAGGGAAGCCGCUGAUAGGUGCAUUAAACGGCUUAGAAGACUGCCGGCACCUUUGUUGUCGAAUGUAAAGGUGCUGUCGCAUAGCAACAUAGUGAUAAGAUCUAACAGUGUCAGCCUGAUAAUAUCUUUGUCUGGAAGAAACAAACUGUAAUCAUAAAGACUGUGUUUUAUACGGUCUCUAAUUUGCUUUCCUGUCGUAUUAAGUCGUACAUUACUAUUUUUCUAUAUCUUUGGUGACACAAAUUACUAAUUUGCGAAGAAAAUAUAUUACAAGCUCUUCUUCAUCAUUUAGUUUUACCAACCGGAACAAUGGAGGAAUAUUUAAAUUCAAAAUCUGCUGCUAACCUAUUGUCUAAAUACUCAAACACUAUUGGAUAAUUUGUGGAAAAUUUGUCGGGGUGGCUUUGGGAGUAGUCGCACUGUAAAGUCAUAUUUGCAUUUAUUAUAUACAACUGUUUCGCAUUCAAUAGACACCACUGCUUUUGAAAACCACAGUGUUAUUAGCAAGGCUUAGCCUCAUUUAUGAGUCAACUAUUCACAGAUAUCAUUAAAAGUCCUUGGGUUCAAAGUGCUAGAAAUAUAUGACAUAUAUAUCCCACGUUUCAUCAGCAUUUCCUUUCCUCAUAUAAAUAACCAAUGUAGUCUAUAUUGCAUAAAAGUUUUGUACUUGUUACUGUCGUGUAAUGUUCAUAAUCAGAUGACGUAAGAUGACCAAUAAACGUUUAAUUAUC